ACCACACCUCAGAUUAUUCAAUUCAAGCUUUCACAAUGGCCUGCAAGAUAGCACUAGUAGUCUUUGUCUAUAUCUGUGUUAGCAUUCUUCCUCUGCCUUGGUACUGCCGAAGCUGACCCACGAUGCCUGUACAAGGUUAAUCCUUACUAUCAUGGUAGCUGCGAGAGAACCCUUAUGACGAGAAUUGUCGAAUUGCUUGUAUUAGAUUUGAGCCACCAAAGUACAGGGGUGGUAUGUGUUCUAUUCAAAGUUUUAAAUAGCGCGCUAAGACUCUUAGCGGCGGACCUUUUCUAAAUGCUAUAGCGUGCUAUAGCGGUGCUAUAGCGCGCUAUUUAAAAUGUUUGCUCUUGUGUUUGGACAAAAGACCCUUAGCGCAGGACCUUUUCUAAAUGCUAUAGCGUGCUAUAGCGGAGCUAUAGCGCGCUAUUUAAAAUAGGGGUUCUAUUGGACAAUGCUUCUGCUAUACAUGUUAAUGAUCAUCGGACUAUUCCAUCGCUAGGGGAGCCAUAAAGAUACAUCACCACCAUGGAAAGAUUAGAGCUCCUAGGAAGAUUGCUUUUUUGGUUGUAUCAGAAUAAAUUGGCAAUGUAUGUGACUGUGCUUUAGCAAGUAUCUGUUUCCGAUGAGUUACGACGAAGAGUUUCCAAUCGACUUAAAUUUUUCUCCUAGUAUCUCCGAGCACCAAGAUGCAAAUAAUACAUGUGCGGCAACCGGCUUUUGUCU